GCCUCAGUGUAUGGUCAUAAGGAUGUAACAACAAACAAGCAAGUAGUGAUAUGCAUCUCAUCUCAUAGCAUUGUUUCCCUAAUGCACCAUAGUAGACAAGCCUCAAGCUGAUAAAGAGGAAUUGAUGGAUAGCUCGAAAGUAACUCCUAUUCAAUCUUCAUCUAAACAUUAUUUUAUUUUUAACACCCAACGUUUAUUUGACAUCGGUUCACAGAAAAUCCAAAACUACAAUUGAAGAAUCAGCAAUGUUUGACUCUAAUAUAACUUCUAAUGAAGAAAAUGAAUCAUCACAUUUUGGUAAAAUAUAUCAAUUACAUGACCCUACUUCAGGAGAUUUUUGUGAACGAGAACAUUUUUAGUUUUUGAGACCUGUCAAGGUGAGCUUUUGAAAUCAACUAAAAAUGAUUACAAGGAACAUUACUCAGCACAUAUACUACAGGUGCAGAGCAACAUAGAUGCCUAUUAUGGAGGAAUGAGCCAAUGAUCAAUAAUCGUUCAUUUGGGAAUUUACUGGUUAAUUCAGCAUUACUGUUUAGUGGUUCCCAUUUUGGUAAAGUUUCUG